UGAACAUUGAGCCUUGAUGUGUAGGAUAGGUGGGAGGCUUUGAAGUGUGGACGCCAGUCUGCAUGGAGCCAACCUUGAAAUACCACCCUUUAAUGUUUGAUGUUCUAACGUAGCCCCAUAAUCUGGGGUGCGGACAGUGUCUGGUGGGUAGUUUGACUGGGGCGGUCUCCUCCCAAAGCGUAACGGAGGAGCACGAAGGUUGGCUAAGCAUGGUCGGACAUCA
rnacentral:rRNA from 1 species